rnacentral:rRNA from 1 species
GAUGAACGCUAGCUACAGGCUUAACACAUGCAAGUCGAGGGGAAACGAUAGGGAAAGCUUGCUUUUUCUAGGCGUCGACCGGCGCACGGGUGAGUAACGCGUAUCCAACCUGCCCAUCACUUGGGGAUAACCUUGCGAAAGUAAGACUAAUACCCAAUGACGUCUCUAGAAGACAUCUGAAGGAGAUUAAAGAUUUAUCGGUGAUGGAUGGGGAUGCGUCUGAUGAGCUUGUUGGCGGGGUAACGGCCCACCAAGGCGACGAUCAGUAGGGGAUCUGAGAGGAAGGUCCCCCACAGUGGAACUGAGACACGGUCCAAACUCCUACGGGAGGCAGCAGGGAGGAAUAUUGGGCAAUGGACGAGAGUCUGAACCAGCCAAGUAGCGUGCAGGAAGACGGCCCUAUGGGUUGUAAACUGCUUUUAUAAGGGAAUAAAGUGAGUCUCGUGAGACUUUUUGCAUGUACCUUAUGAAUAAGGACCGGCUAAUUCCGUGCCAGCCGCCGCCGUAA